UGCUCAUUCGUACUCUUUGUUAUCUCUAG
rnacentral:piRNA from 1 species